rnacentral:rRNA from 1 species
GUGGGGAGUACGGCCCGCAAGGCUGAAACUCAAAGGAAUUGACGGGGGCCCGCACAAGCGGUGGAGCAUGUGGUUUAAUUCGAAGCUACGCGAAGAACCUUACCAGGUCUUGACAUACUAUGCAAAUCUAAGAGAUUAGACGUUCCCUUCGGGGACAUGGAUACAGGUGGUGCAUGGUUGUCGUCAGCUCGUGUCGUGAGAUGUUGGGUUAAGUCCCGCAACGAGCGCAACCCUUAUUAUCAGUUGCCAGCAUUAAGUUGGGCACUCUGGUGAGACUGCCGGUGACAAACCGGAGGAAGGUGGGGAUGACGUCAAAUCAUCAUGCCCCUUAUGACCUGGGCUACACACGUGCUACAAUGGAUGGUACAACGAGUUGCGAACUCGCGAGAGUAAGCUAAUCUCUUAAAGCCAUUCUCAGUUCGGAUUGUAGGCUGCAACUCGCCUACAUGAAGUCGGAAUCGCUAGUAAUCGCGGAUCAGCAUGCCGCGGUGAAUACGUUCCCGGGCCUUGUACACACCGCCCGUCACACCAUGAGAGUUUGUAACACCCAAAGUCGGUGGGGUAACCUUUUAGGAACCA